rnacentral:lncRNA from 1 species
CAACAGUUUCUUUAAUGGAGGAACUUUCAUGUCCUUCAAAUGGAGGAAGUCUUCUCCUUCAGUGACAUCAAUCUGAUUAUUCUCAUUCAGACUUGUAUUUGGACUCUCUUAGGUAGAAGGAAAGCCUCAAGAUAAGGAAGAAGAAUUAAAGAAAAAUCGAGUCUUCCAAUCAUGAAUGGAAGAAGGAAGGCCGGUGAUGAAAGACAAACCCUUCCUCAGAGAAAAGAACCACCAACCCUCAAUCUUAGAGUGGGGGUGAAGGAUGAAGAAAGAUCGGAAGAGAAAAACCCGAGGCUCGAUCGGGAUCAUAAGGCACAAUAAGGUAAAGGUAACAAGGAGCCGAAUGGAAUUUGAUGCAAGCUAAGCUGGACAAAGUCAGUAAUAGUCCAAGAUGUUCCGAAUGAACUCCGAAAUCGAGAAUGGAGG